rnacentral:lncRNA from 1 species
UUUUUUCCCUCCUUAAAUUUUUCCUUCUUUCUCCGCUUAACGAUGAACUCAAACAGAAACUCUCUUCUCCAAGCCCUUAAAGUGGCAAUCAUCUUCAUCCUUAGCCUCGUUGCAGCUAAUUCUCUUGUAGCUGAAGCAAGACCUCUGUAUCCUACGAGGGAAAUCUUUGUAGGUAAGAAGGCGGAGGUGGCUAAUCCAGAGAGAAAUGGUGACCCAAAAACAUCAAGCCCUAACCCUUGCUCUAAUCUUCCAGUAACAGAUCCUGGUCACUGCCCCAAGAAUUAGUGGGAUCAUUUACAUGCGCUCCUCCAAAUAAAUAAAACACGUAUUUAAAUAAGGAUUAUAAAUCCUCACGUUAGAUACCUUGCAUGGUUGUGCAUGGAAAUCUCACUUCAGC